UUUCCGUAGGUGAACCUGCGGAAGGAUCAUUAAAAAAUUGGACUCCAUUGGUGAGUUCAUUAAUAAUCCCUACCCUUUGUGAAUUUGUUUGUUUGAAUAACUUUUUUUUCCAAAAAAAAUUAUUGAAUGUCUUUCCUUGUUUUGGUGGAGCUUGUAAAGUGAAACCAGGCAGGGGAAUGGCAACAAUAAUUAUUUUUGAAAAAGACCUUUUUUUAAAAUUAAACUUUUUGUAUUCAUUUGUCUAAAAUUAAUUUUUAUAAUAUAAAAACAACUUUUGACAAUGGAUCUCUUGGUUCUCGCAACGAUGAAGAACGCAGCAAAAUGCGAUAAGUAGUGUGAAUUGCAGAAUACGUGAAUCAUCGAAUCUUCGAACGCAUAUUGCACUUUUUUAGUUUACUAAAAAAGUAUGUCUGUUUGAGUAUCAGUAAAAUAUUCUCAUAAAAAACAUUGUUUUUUUUAUGGUUAUGAGUGUUUUACAACGAUAACAAGUUGUUUCACUUUAAAUUCUUUGUUAUCAAAAAAAUCAUUAAAAGCUAAUUUUAAAGAUUUUUUAAAAUUGGAUAAAAUUUUCCCGUAAAAAGGAAUAACCUAAACAAUUUUAAAAAAUUAAAAUUGGUUUGAUUUUUUUUUGAAACCCAAAGGAAAAAAAAACGAAAUUAACUUGAUCUCAAAUCAGAUAAGAGUACCCGCUGAACUUAAGCAUAUCAAUAAGCGGAGGAAAAGAAACUAACUAGGAUUCCCUCAGUAACGGCGAGUGAAGCGGGAAGAGCUCAAAUUUGAAAUCUUCAAGGUUUUACCUUGACGAAUUGUAGUUUAAAGAAGUGCUUUCUGUUGGAGUUUUGGUAAAAGUUCUUUGGAAAAGGACAUCAUAGAGGGUGAGAAUCCCGUAUUUGACCAUUAUCUCCAGCUUUGUGAUACACUUUCAAAGAGUCGGAUUGUUUGGGAAUGCAGUCCAAAAUGGGUGGUAAAUUUCAUCUAAAGCUAAAUACUGGCGAGAGACCGAUAGCGAACAAGUACCGUGAGGGAAAGAUGAAAAGAACUUUGAAAAGAGAGUUAAACAGUACGUGAAAUUGUCAAAAGGGAAGCGUUUGACACCAGUGUUGUUUUCUCGAAAAUCAAUUAAAAAAGGCCGGAUUUUGUGUUGUAUUGACUUUAUCAGCUUUCUGCACUCUUUUCUUGUCUUUUUUAAUGCACUUUUCGUUUAACAAGUCAACAUCAAUUUCUUUUGUUGUAAAAGGGUCAUUGGAAGGUGGCUUUCUUUUCGGAGAAAGUGUUUAUAGCCUUUGGCCUCUGCAAUCGGAGAGAUUGAGGUCUGCAGCGUAGAUCCUUCGGGGUUAGAUACAUUUGUGCUAAGUUAUAGCCUUUCAUAGACAACUUGUUGACUAUGAUCAGUCAUGUAGCUUACUCGCUUAUGCUAUUUUACCUACGCUUAGGAUGUUG
rnacentral:misc_RNA from 1 species